GGCGGCGGGCGUCGGGCG
rnacentral:miRNA from 1 species